rnacentral:rRNA from 1 species
AGAGUUUGAUCAUGGCUCAGGACGAACGCUGGCGGCGCGCCUAACACAUGCAAGUCGAACGAGCGAGAGAGAGCUUUGCUUUCUCGAGCGAGUGGCGAACGGGUGAGUAACGCGUGAGGAACCUGCCUCAAANAGGGGGACAACAGUUGGAAACGACUGCUAAUACCGCAUAAGCCCACGACCCGGCAUCGGGUAGAGGGAAAAGGAGAAAUCCGCUUUGAGAUGGCCUCGCGUCCGAUUAGCUAGUUGGUGAGGUAACGGCCCACCAAGGCGACGAUCGGUAGCCGGACUGAGAGGUUGAACGGCCACAUUGGGACUGAGACACGGCCCAGACUCCUACGGGAGGCAGCA